rnacentral:rRNA from 1 species
UACAGAGGUCUCAAGCGUUGUUCGGAUUCAUUGGGCGUAAAGGGUGCGUAGGCGGCGCGGUAAGUCGGGUGUGAAAUCUCGGAGCUUAACUCCGAAACUGCAUUCGAUACUGCCGUGCUUGAGGACUGGAGAGGAGACUGGAAUUCACGGUGUAGCAGUGAAAUGCGUAGAUAUCGUGAGGAAGACCAGUGGCGAAGGCGGGUCUCUGGACAGUUCCUGACGCUGAGGCACGAAGGCCAGGGGAGCAAACGGG